GAGCAGGCCGGGCAAUCGCGGGUGCUAACGCCGCAAGGCGGCACUCGAGGAAAGUCCGGACUCCACAGGGCAGGGUGCUGGGUAACUCCCAGUCAGGGCGACCUGAAGGAAAGUGCCACAGAAACAUACCGCCCGUCUCGAAGACGGGUAAGGGUGAAAAGGUGGUGUAAGAGACCACCGGCGGGCGGGCGACCGUCCGGCCAGGCAAACCCCACCCGGAGCAAGGCCAAAUAGGAGGAGGAUGACGUGGCCCGCGUACUCCUCGGGUUGGCUGCUAGAGGCGGCGGGGAACCGCCGUCCCAGAGAGAUGAUUGCCCUCGACAGAAUCCGGCUUACAGGCCUGCUUG
rnacentral:RNase_P_RNA from 1 species